UACGUAGGGGGCGAGCGUUAUCCGGAUUUACUGGGUGUAAAGGGAGCGUAGACGGCGUCGCAAGUCUGAAGUGAAAGCCCGUGGCUCAACCGCGGAAUCGCUUUGGAAACUGCGAGGCUGGAGUGCUGGAGAGGCAAUCGGAAUUCCGUGUGUAGCGGUGAAAUGCGUAGAUAUACGGAGGAACACCAGUGGCGAAGGCGGAUUGCUGGACAGUAACUGACGCUGAGGCGCGAAAGCGUGGGGAGCAAACAGG
rnacentral:rRNA from 1 species